rnacentral:rRNA from 1 species
AUUACCGCGGCUGCUGGCACGGAGUUAGCCGGUGCUUCUUCUGCGAGUAACGUCAAUCGCUAAGGUUAUUAACCUUAACGCCUUCCUCCUCGCUGAAAGUACUUUACAACCCGAAGGCCUUCUUCAUACACGCGGCAUGGCUGCAUCAGGCUUGCGCCCAUUGUGCAAUAUUCCCCACUGCUGCCUCCCGUAGGAG